rnacentral:lncRNA from 1 species
AUGGUUGGCGCAUACUCUGGUGUGAAGGUGGGACUCCGCGAAGACGUCGCACAGUACCUGGAAUUGUGUAUUGUGCACAACCUUGUGCUGAGACAACGGAAAACCGCCAUCUUAUUGCUCACUCAAUGCCUCCAUAACACCAAUUUUUCACUCCCGGGCUUUGCAGCAGCCCGGUGUACUUUCCAUAAUACGCCUAUUACACAGGCAUCCUCACUAGCCAUCGCUUACACAAUUACCCGUGUGAUUUUCUCCAUCCCGGCGUGGUUGCCAUCGUCUUCGGUCCCCACCCAGUAUAACUUCGGGAACCCAUGGAAACAGAUGACAUGUGCUAAUAACAGCAUCUUCGGGAAGAUGAUUUUGCUUUUCAUGAAGAAAGAAUGUUUUGAACUGUUGUACUGGAAUUUCAGUGCCUGCAAUGUUGAAGGUGACACCAGCUCGGAUAUGUAUUGUUUGGGGGUCAUAAAUGACCUUUGGAGCAUUUAUAAAAGUGGUAGUUACAGAAAACUUAUUAUCCUGAUGCUGAGAAGCAAACACUUUAAGAGGGACAUCAGCUACUUGUGUCGCAGAGCAGCCCUGUUCCAGAGCAUCACCAGAACUCAUGGCCACAACCAGUGUAACCUCUGCAGUGGGUGUUGUUGUGCUGCCCUCACUAUAUGUGUGAUUCAGUCCUAUCAGUUGUGUCCAACUCUGCACCCCCAUGGACUGUUGCCCUCUGCAAGCUCCUCUGUCCAUGGGAUUUUUCCAGGCAAGAAUACUGGAGUGGGGUGCCAUGCCCUCCUCCAGGGGAUUUUCCCCAACCAGGGAUUGAACCCGUAUCUCUGACAUCUUAUGCAGUGACAGGUAGGUUCUUUACCAUAGUGCCACAGGGGAAGCCCACCAGACAAUGAGCUAGUGUCUUAUUUCACUCUUGUAAUAAUCCAUCAAAGUCCUUAUUAAUACUCUCAUCUCAGUUUAAUAGGAAAAGAGAGAGAGAAAAAGGAGAGUUAGAGGGUGAAUUCAUUUCUUCAACUGAGUGAUGAAAAGAGCUUUGUACCCUCGUCUCCCUGACUUCAAGACCCAGUCUCUUUUCAACCAUUUCACCAUUAAAUCAUGGUGCUAUGUUGCCAAGUAUGGAAGGUUUAAAGUAAGUGAGUGACAAGAUCAAUGCAGAAUUUUGGGUGGAAAAAAAAAGUCUAAACGGGGUGUGCGAUUCUGGAGGGGAAGACACUCUAUUCAUGUCUACCGGAGUUCCUCUGACUGGAAAAUGGAAACCACCUCCCACUUGAUUAAGUGCCUUCCCUGAUGCCUGUCCUCAGAGUCGUUCUCAUUCUCUUCCCUGCUGUGAAGCCAGGUUUAGGAGGAGAUGGAAGAGAUAAGCAGAUGAAUAAAAAUAAGCAGACCAGAUAAUGUUGGCUGAUU